rnacentral:misc_RNA from 1 species
UUGGAGAGAUGGCCGGCUGGGCAAGAAUACACGCACGCGUGGGGGCUGGGGGCUCCAGUGCUCCACGCGGUCUGCGUUGCAGGGAGCAGAGAGGAGCGAGACGAGGCGUGGUCGCUGGGGUGCUCGCCGGUGCAGGAGACUGCGCCUGGGGAGGGGCCGAUGCUGGGCGAAUCGUCGGCCAGCGCAGUGGCGCGCUCAGGCUUGCAGGGAGAAGAUGAAAAGGCCACAGCGGUAACACAACUCGGCAAGGGAGGCCAGGACACGGCCGGGGGUGCCGCGCUGCGCGCUGAGGAGGAGCGCGGGGAUGGGGCUGCAGGGGCAUGCUCGCCCAGCCAAGGCAGCCACGAGGAUGCAGCGCGGCACGACGAGGAGCAGCGCGGCACGGCUCCCUGCAUGGUGAUGCGCAGCGCUGGCGGCCGGAGCUGGGCGAGAACGGGCGAGGCGUGGUUGUGGGUGGUUCUGGCGGAGCUGGACGCGAGGGACGAGGCAACGAGAGUGCCAAUUCCUGUUUUGGGGCGACAUGGGCAAGGGAACUCGGACGGUUGGAGUCUGGAGAAGAAGACUUGCCCUAGGCAUGGCUCUGGCGCGCGGGCGCUCCCGACGGCUGGACGCGGCUGCGGCUGCUGUAGGAGGCGUGCUGAGGCACUAGGGUUUGGGGAAAUGAGCCGCGUGUGCUAG